rnacentral:rRNA from 1 species
AGUGAACGCUGGCGGUAGGCCUAACACAUGCAAGUCGAACGGCAGCACAGUAAGAGCUUGCUCUUACGGGUGGCGAGUGGCGGACGGGUGAGGAAUGCAUCGGAAUCUACUUUUUCGUGGGGGAUAACGUAGGGAAACUUACGCUAAUACCGCAUACGACCUACGGGUGAAAGCAGGGGAUCUUCGGACCUUGCGCGAUUGAUUGAGCCGAUGUCGGAUUAGCUAGUUGUCGGGGUAAAGGCCCACCAAGGCGACGAUCCGUAGCUGGUCUGAGAGGAUGAUCAGCCACACUGGAACUGAGACACGGUCCAGACUCCUACGGGAGGCAGCAGUGGGGAAUAUUGGACAAAGGGCGCAAGCCUGAUCCAGCCAUACCGCGUGGGUGAAGAAGGCCUUCGGGUUGUAAAGCCCUUUUGUUGGGAAAGAAAAGCAGCAGGUUAAUACCCCGCUGUUCUGACGGUACCCAAAGAAUAAGCACCGGCUAACUUCGUG